AUUGAACGCUGGCGGCAUGCCUUACACAUGCAAGUCGAACGGCAGCACGGGAGCAAUCCUGGUGGCGAGUGGCGAACGGGUGAGUAAUAUAUCGGAACGUGCCCAGUCGUGGGGAUAACGUAGCGAAAGCUACGCUAAUACCGCAUACGAUCUAUGGAUGAAAGCGGGGGAUCGCAAGACCUCGCGCGAUUGGAGCGGCCGAUAUCAGAUUAGGUAGUUGGUGAGGUAAAGGCUCACCAAGCCGACGAUCUGUAGCUGGUCUGAGAGGACGACCAGCCACACUGGGACUGAGACACGGCCCAGACUCCUACGGGAGGCAGCAGUGGGGAAUUUUGGACAAUGGGCGCAAGCCUGAUCCAGCAAUGCCGCGUGCAGGAUGAAGGCCUUCGGUUGUAACUAGCUUUGUUACGGAACGAAACGGU
rnacentral:rRNA from 1 species